GGGAAUGUGGCUUAGUGGUAGAGUGCUUGCCUAGCAUGCAUGAAGCCUUGGGUUCGAUUCCUCACUACCA
rnacentral:tRNA from 1 species